AGUUUGAUCCUGGCUCAGAGUGAACGCUGGCGGUAGGCCUAACACAUGCAAGUCGAACGGCAGCACAGAGGAGCUUGCUCCUUGGGUGGCGAGUGGCGGACGGGUGAGGAAUACAUCGGAAUCUACUCUGUCGUGGGGGAUAACGUAGGGAAACUUACGCUAAUACCGCAUACGACCUACGGGUGAAAGCGGAGGACCUUCGGGCUUCGCGCGGUUGAAUGAGCCGAUGUCGGAUUAGCUAGUUGGCGGGGUAAAGGCCCACCAAGGCGACGAUCCGUAGCUGGUCUGAGAGGAUGAUCAGCCACACUGGAACUGAGACACGGUCCAGACUCCUACGGGAGGCAGCAGUGGGGAAUAUUGGACAAUGGGCGCAAGCCUGAUCCAGCCAUGCCGCGUGGGUGAAGAAGGCCUUCGGGUUGUAAAGCCCUUUUGUUGGGAAAGAAAAGCAGUCGGUUAAUACCCGAUUGUUCUGACGGUACCCAAAGAAUAAGCACCGGCUAACUUCGUGCCAGCAGCCGCGGUAA
rnacentral:rRNA from 1 species